rnacentral:rRNA from 1 species
CCUACGGGUGGCUGCAGUGGGGAAUAUUGGACAAUGGGGGCAACCCUGAUCCAGCAACGCCGCGUGGGUGAAGAAGGCCUUCGGGUUGUAAAGCCCUUUCGACGGGGACGAUGAUGACGGUACCCGUAGAAGAAGCCCCGGCUAACUUCGUGCCAGCAGCCGCGGUAAUACGAAGGGGGCUAGCGUUGUUCGGAAUUACUGGGCGUAAAGGGCGCGUAGGCGGACCUGCCAGUCAGGGGUGAAAUCCCGGGGCUCAACCUCGGAAUUGCCUUUGAUACUGUAGGUCUUGAGGACGGGAGAGGGUCGUGGAAUUCCCAGUGUAGAGGUGAAAUUCGUAGAUAUUGGGAAGAACACCGGUGGCGAAGGCGGCGACCUGGACCGUAUCUGACGCUGAGGCGCGAAAGCGUGGGGAGCAAAUAGGAUUAGAUACCCCGGUAGUC